GACGAACGCUGGCGGCGUGCUUAACACAUGCAAGUCGAACGGAAAGGCCCUGCUUUUGUGGGGUGCUCGAGUGGCGAACGGGUGAGUAACACGUGAGUAACCUGCCCUUGACUUUGGGAUAACUUCAGGAAACUGGUGCUAAUACCGGAUAGGAGCUCCUGCUGCAUGGUGGUGGUUGGAAAUUUUCGGGGGUUGGGGAUGGACUCGCGGCUUUUCAGCUUGUUGGUGGGGUAGUUGCUUACCAAGGCUUUGGCGGGUAGCCGGCCUGUGAGGGUUACCGGGCAAAUUGGGACGGAGAUACGGACCAGACGGCAACGGGAGGAAGCAGUGGGGAAUAUUGCAAAAUGGGCGGAAGCCUGAUGCAGAAACGCAGCGUGCGGGAUGACGGCCUUCGGGUUGUAAACCGAUUUCGACUGUGACGAAGAGUGAGUGACGGUAAUGGGUAAAGAAGCACCGGCUAACUACGUG
rnacentral:rRNA from 1 species